UUCACGGAGAGUUUGAUCCUGGCUCAGGACGAACGCUGGCGGCGUGCUUAACACAUGCAAGUCGAACGAUGAACCACUUCGG
rnacentral:rRNA from 2 species